UUUCCCUAUUUAUAAAGGGCAAUAUAGUACAUUUAUUCAUGUUUUAUAUUAAAUAAAAAAAUUAAUUACACUUAACUAAAUUUCUUAAACACUGCGCAAGUAUUUUUUUUUUGCCUAUAAAUGUGACUGAAGGGAGUAUUUUGCUAUGAAUUCUUGUGGGAAUAAUUUAUGAAGGAUUGUUAUUUGUAUUUUUUUUCUUGAUGAAAUGACAAAGUUAUUGAAAACUCACACACACAAAGUGGAGUGAUCUGAGUUUGAAAACCUCGAUCAUGACAUUUGAUGCUAGCAAUUUUGAUAUUUUUAUCAGUUGAGCUAAAAUGUGUUGAUUUUUUUUUUAUUAGUAAAUACAAUCAUGCAUGUGAACAAUAUACAGCUGAAGAAUUAUAAUCCAGUAAAUAGGAUAGGAUACAAUAUUACAACAUGUAAAUCUAUCUUAAUUGUUUGUUGACACCCUUGACCACAACUCGGUAAUCUUCUCAAAAGAAAACAUUUAAAAAUCUAUCUUUAAGAUUUUAAUUUGUCAUAUAAUCUAAUUGCUAUAAAUUCACCUCUUGAGGUUAAUAUGUGGGAGAUUCGGAAGUUGAACUCCGACCUACAUAUAAAAUGCAAUAUCCCUUUUCUAUCACGAGAAUGAUUAUAAAAUAAUGAAAAUUUGUUAAAUAAAUUAUGAAUGGAUUAUUUUGAUUUGUAAAUUUUUAUUUGAUGACCUCCUUAUUAAAGGUGCUAAAGGGACAAAUUAACAAAUUAUUGUACUUAAGGGACGUCUAAUAAUUAUUUAAAAAAAUAAAACAUGAGCUAUAUAAAUAAAUCAAAAAGUAAUAAAAUCAAAUUCUAUUUGAAACAUGCAAAAAGUGGAAAACAUGGAUAAAAUUUUCAAGUUUGUUAAUGUUAUGAUCAUCAUUUUUUUCCUAUUUCUUGCUUCAACGCGAGUUUCAUAUGCUAAUAUUCCAUGUAAAACUGAUCGUGAUUGUCCAGUAGUUUCCGUCAACCAGAUUAGAUCAAAACCUGUAAGAAUGAAAUGUCGUAAAGGUUUUUGUACUUGACAAUCAUAAAGCUCCAAAGAUUAUAGGAUUGUUAGACCCCAAAAGAAUCCACAAAUUCACUACUCCAUGAAUUCUUGUUUAGUUAUUGUGAUCAUCCAUUAAAUGAUUUUUUUUAUAUAAUUUUUUUAAUUUCAGGUACCUUGUAAGAUGAUGCAAAUGAAAUUAAAUAAAGCAUAAAAAAUAUUAUCUAUGGUUUCUUCUUCUA